UACGGAGGGCGCAAGCGUUGUUCGGAAUCACUGGGCGUAAAGCGCGUGUAGGCGGCUUGGCAAGUCGGGUGUGAAAUCCCGAGGCUCAACCUCGGAACUGCACUCGAAACUGUCGGCCUUGAGUACCGGAGAGGGUGGCGGAAUUCCUGGUGUAGAGGUGAAAUUCGUAGAUAUCAGGAGGAACACCGGUGGCGAAGGCGGCCACCUGGACGGUUACUGACGCUGAGACGCGAAAGCGUGGGGAGCAAACAGG
rnacentral:rRNA from 1 species